rnacentral:rRNA from 1 species
UACGAAGGGGGCUAGCGUUGCUCGGAAUCACUGGGCGUAAAGGGUGCGUAGGCGGGUCUUUAAGUCAGGGGUGAAAUCCUGGAGCUCAACUCCAGAACUGCCUUUGAUACUGGCGAUCUCGAGUCCGGGAGAGGUGAGUGGAACUGCGAGUGUAGAGGUGAAAUUCGUAGAUAUUCGCAAGAACACCAGUGGCGAAGGCGGCUCACUGGCCCGGUACUGACGCUGAGGUGCGAAAGCGUGGGGAGCGAACAGG